UCGAUCAUGGUGCUGUCUGCCGGGUGUGCAAAGCGGCAGUCUGUCUCUCCCCGGGCACAGUUUCCUCGCUGGAACUCCCUGCAUACCUGAGAUAACGGGAAAGAGCAGAGUGCUGCAGAAGAAAGCCUGGUGGCCACCGCGCCAACGGAGGGGAAAGAGCCCAGAAAAUUGUGAAGUAGCCUCUUCUGGGCUCCGGUCCCAUAGCCAGGAAACGUAAGCAUUGGUUUGUUUCCUGGUCACCAGUGAUGUUGCUGAAGGGACAGAGAUAAGAAGCUCAAGUCUGUACAAGGCAGUCAUUUCUGAGGAUUUCACUGACCUGUGGCCAAGCCAGGUUGACAGAAAUGAAAACAUCAGAAAUCCUUUCUUGCCUGAACCGUAUACACAUAGAGAAGAACUGAAAAUACUCAUUUCCGCCCAAAUUACCUAUCACUCCAAGCUACUGAGUGCUCUAACCCAAAGGCAGUAAGACGUACAGAACAUAGACUGGCCAUCUAUGCAUAUGCCUACAGGUAUCUGCAAGGCACAUGAGUAAAACCCCCCUUGGUUAUAGCUGAUAUUCAAGUUGGCCAAAUCCAUGCUUGGAAGCACAGGGAGUGUACUCAGGAUUUAUUUUGUUCAGACGUACCAACAUGUUUCAGUUUUUCAUCACUAGCAUGUGCAUCCUCAACACUUAGGCAGUUUUUAUGUGGACCUACUAUGUGCUGCUCUCUGCCCUAAUGUGCGUCAAUAUAUCCUUUCAUUCUUGAAAGGCUGGACAGGAGUGCUUGCGUUUUUUUUUCAAAUGAUCAUUUUCACACAUGACUGCUAAAACUCAGUUUUGUUUCCUGGUCACAUAAUCAGAAAAGCUGCGACAAAGCAUGCCUGGUCCCUAGUUAAAUGUGUUUUCCAUCACAACAGACCUGGCUAAGAAUAAUCAUACCAUGGCUGAUAGGAUAAUUAUUUUUAAGAGUUUCAUCUAAUCAUUAUCUAAAUAAGAUUGCCUUUCAGAGAAGAUAUUAUGCACACUUAGACAACAAACCUUGUUUCACAUUUCUUUAUUUAAACACAGUCUCAAUAGAUAGUCCAGAAUACACUGUAACUAGUGACACAGCUCAUGCUGGCCCCAAACUCAGCAGCCCUCCUGCCUCAGCCUGUGGAGUGCUGGGAUUCUCGAUGUGUGUCACCACACAGACCCUGCAUUUUUUUAAACCUGUGAAGAACCAUUGUUAACAUGGUUUCCAAAGAUUUUCCUGAGAAUAAACUGUAUGCUGAACUGG
ensembl:lincRNA Gm26679 predicted gene, 26679